GGGAAUGUGGCUUAGUGGUAAAAGUAUUUGCCUAGCAUGCAUGAAGACUUGGGUUUGAUUCCUCAGUACCA
rnacentral:tRNA from 1 species